rnacentral:rRNA from 1 species
GACGAACGCUGGCGGCGUGCUUAACACAUGUAAGUCGAACGGAAAGGCCCUGCUUUUGUGGGGUGCUCGAGUGGCGAACGGGUGAGUAACACGUGAGUAACCUGCCCUUGACUUUGGGAUAACUUCAGGAAACUGGGGCUAAUACCGGAUAGGAGCUCCUGCUGCAUGGUGGGGGUUGGAAAGUUUCGGCGGUUGGGGAUGGACUCGCGGCUUAUCAGCUUGUUGGUGGGGUAGUGGCUUACCAAGGCUUUGACGGGUAGCCGGCCUGAGAGGGUGACCGGCCACAUUGGGACUGAGAUACGGCCCAGACUCCUACGGGAGGCAGCAGUGGGGAAUAUUGCACAAUGGGCGGAAGCCUGAUGCAGCAACGCCGCGUGCGGGAUGACGGCCUUCGGGUUGUAAACCGCUUUCGCCUGUGACGAAGCGUGAGUGACGGUAAUGAGUAAAGAAGCACCGGCUAACUACGUG